AAAGAGGGAUGAUGAGCAAAUCCUGCAUCACGGUGCACGGCACAGAAUUGGAGCCGAGGGAUGUGUGCUCUAGCCUGGGAGGCAUCUGCAUGGCCCAGGAGAAAGCAACGCGGAACCUUACCUGGACCUCCUCCAUCCCCGGGUGCCCGAUGCCGUGCAGGGCAAGGCUGUCCCCCAUCCCGGAGUCAAGGCCAUGUCCUGAAACUCAAAAUCACCAACCCAUCUUCGCUUGGAAAAGACCAAAAAGAAAGUUGCACUUCUCGGAGGACCCCGAGGGAAAGUUGCGUGAAAAAAACA